rnacentral:rRNA from 1 species
GAUGAACGCUGGCGGCGUGCCUAAUACAUGCAAGUCGAGCGAACAGACGAUGAGCUUGCUCCUCUGACGUUAGCGGCGGACGUGUGAGUAACACAUGGAUAACCCACUUAUAAGACUGGGAUAACUUCGGGAAACCGGAGCUAAUACCGGAUAAUAUACUGCACCGCAUGGUUCAAUAGUGAAAGACGGCUUUGCUGUCUCUUAUCGAUGGAUCUGGGCCGCAUUAGCUAGUUGGUAAGGUAACGGCUUACCAAGGCAACGAUGCGUAGCCGACGUGAGAGAGGGGUCGGCGACCUGAGAGCGGGAACGCGGACAUGGCUCCUACGAGAGGCAGCAGUAGGGAAUGUUCCGCAGUAGGCGGAAGCUUGGCGGAACAGGGCCGCGUGAGUGGUGAAGGUCUUCGGAUCGUAAAGCUCUGUUAUGAGGGAAAAACAGAUGUGUAAGGAACUGUAGACGUCUUGACGGUACCUGAUAAGAAAGCCACGGCUAACUACGUG